UACAGAGGUCUCAAGCGUUGUUCGGAUUCAUUGGGCGUAAAGGGUGCGUAGGCGGCGCGGUAAGUCGGGUGUGAAAUCUCGGAGCUUAACUCCGAAACUGCACUUGAUACUGCGAUGCUCGAGUACUGGAGAGGAGAUUGGAAUUUACGGUGUAGCAGUGAAAUGCGUAGAUAUCGUAAGGAAGACCAGUGGCGAAGGCGAAUCUCUGGACAGUUACUGACACUGAGGCACGAAGGCCAGGGGAGCAAACGGG
rnacentral:rRNA from 1 species